GUCUCGAUGGUGUAGUUGGUUAUCACGUGGGUCUCAUAAUCCCAAGGCCGGGAGUUCGAACCUCCCUCGGGACA